GACGAACGCUGGCGGCGUGCUUAACACAUGCAAGUCGAACGGAAAGGCCCUGCUUUUGUGGGGUGCUCGAGUGGCGAACGGGUGAGUAACACGUGAGUAACCUGCCCUUGACUUUGGGAAACUUCAGGAAACUGGGGCUAAUACCGGAUAGGAGCUCCUUCUGCAUGGUGGGGGUUGGAAAGUUUCGGCGGUUGGGGAUGGACUCGAGGCUUAUCAGCUUGUUGGUGGGGUAGGGGCUUACCAAGGCUUUGACGGGUAGCCGGCCUGAGAGGGUGACCGGGCACAUUGGGACUGAGAUACGGACCAGACUGCUACGGGAGGCAGCAGUGGGGAAUAUUGCACAAUGGGCGGAAGCCUGAUGCAGCAACGCCGCGUGCGGGAUGACGGCCUUCGGGUUGUAAACAGAUUUCGCCUGUGACGAAGCGUGAGUGACGGUAAUGGGUAAAGAAGCACCGGCUAACUACGUG
rnacentral:rRNA from 1 species